rnacentral:sRNA from 1 species
AUAUCUGGUGAAUUGUUGGUUCUUUUUGAAAACGCAACUGCAUCCAUUCAUUACAAUCUCUAUAUCUGUUGCUUUCUUUAUAGGGCAUCACAAAAAAAUGUGAAGGAGAAGAAAUUUUCCUAGGUCAGUUUAUAUAUAACAAAACAGGAACCACCGUUCAAACAUUUGAACUCCAGCAUGCAGUUUCUGAAUAUUUAUUAUGUGUGAAACUUAAUAUCUUUAGCAACUGGGGACACCCGAAGUAUACUUGUUUAUAUCGAUUCAGGGUCCACGGCACACCAGGCAAGCAUAUCUAGAAGAGUUGGUACAGAAGGCCAUGCCACAUGUCCAGAAUAUUCAAGAAUGCUUAUUCUCUUAGAUGAUACCGCACCCAUAGGAAUUGAGAAUUGGGAGUAGGAAGAAAACCUCAAAGUGGUUCAUACUUGCCUGUAAAAAGUAAAUGCAUUUUAUUAAUAAAAAAUAUGGAAGUAAAUUAAA